rnacentral:rRNA from 1 species
UACGUAGGAGACAAGCGUUGUCCGGAAUUACUGGGUGUAAAGCGCGUGUAGGUGGUAGGCCAAGUCUGCUGUGAAAUCGCCCGGCUCAACUGGGCGCGGUCGGUGGAAACUGGUCAACUGGAGGACGGUAGAGGCGAGUGGAAUUCCCGGUGUAGUGGUGAAAUGCGUAGAUAUCGAGAGGAACACCUGCGGCGAAGGCGGGUUGCUGGGGCUGACACUGACGCUGAGGCGCGAAAGCUAGGGGAGCGAACGGG